UCAGCUCCACAUCCCAACAGCUUUUGAAUUUGAAGCUGGCCAGAAUCUUAGCCCGAAGGGGGAAAUUUACUUUGUUGA
rnacentral:ribozyme from 1 species